rnacentral:rRNA from 1 species
GUCUAUGGCCAUGCCACCCUGAACAUGCCCGAUCUCAUUUAUCUCAGAAACUAAGCGGGGUUGGGCCUAGUUAGUACUUGGAUGGGAGACCACUUAGGAAUACCAGGUGCUGUAGGCG